GAUGAACGCUGGCGGCGUGCCUAAUACAUGCAAGUCGAGCGAACAGAUGAGGAGCUUGCUCCUCUGACGUUAGCGGCGGACGGGUGAGUAACACGUGGAUAACCUACCUAUAAGACUGGGAUAACUUCGGGAAACCGGAGCUAAUACCGGAUAAUAUAUUGAACCGCAUGGUUCAAUAGUGAAAGACGGUUUUGUUGUCACUUAUAGAUGGAUCCGCGCCGCAUUAGCUAGUUGGUAAGGUAACGGCUUACCAAGGCAACGAUGCGUAGCCGACCUGAGAGGGUGAUCGGCCACACUGGAACUGAGACACGGUCCAGACUCCUACGGGAGGCAGCAGUAGGGAAUCUUCCGCAAAGGGCGAAAGCCUGACGGAGCAACGCCGCGUGAGUGAUGAAGGUCUUCGGAUCGUAAAACUCUGUUAUUAGGGAAGAACAAAUGUGUAAGUAACUAUGCACGUCUUGACGGUACCUAAUCAGAAAGCCACGGCUAACUACGUG
rnacentral:rRNA from 1 species